UUCAUUUCAGUAUCAUGCUUUCGUGACGACUAAGUAUUUCGUACUGGAAGUAAGAGCUGUAUAACGAUCUUAUCCGUUUAAUAUCUUGCUCGGAUUACAGUUUUCUCCUUAGACAUGCAGAUCUUGUAAAUAAUAAAUGUUACGUUCUUGUCAAAUUUGGUCGAAUUAUUAAUUUGAAUAUUAUUCUUUUGUCUAUUUCAAUGUAACAAGUCUCAUAAUAGUCUAUAGAGUUAGAAAUGUACUUUAUUCAGAGAUCAAGGCAUCUUAUGGAACGUAAAUAUAAUGGACUUUAUCAACAAUUGAUUGGUGCAAUCAAAACUUCAUAAAUCCUGAUAACGAAUAGGAUAUAAUGUCAUUAAUCUUCAAGGAAGUUGUCACUGCAAUUCUUAAGAAAAACGAUUGACUAAGUAUCAGACAUUGCUUCAGAGAAUGACGGAGAAUUUUCCAGCAUACCGUGUGUAUCGAAAGUUCUGGUACAGACAGUUAGACAAACUGAAAAGUGUGAUUUUCGCCCUAAAGAUCGUAUACGUGACACAAAGCAGAGCAUCAAGUGCAACUGAUCCUUCCAGAAAGACUCGAGGAAGACGAACCAACGUGUCGAAACUAUAUUGUCUAUCACAGGUAUUUAUGCGAACAGCUGCAGUUUAUUAUUACUAAACUGCAGAUCUUUAUGCAAAUUAACAUUUUUAAGAAUGUAUUUGGAAAACAACAUUAUGAUAGAAAAUUGUUUUCCCUAAGGAACGUCAUAAGAAUCAAUCACUAUACUUUGGAUAUUUUAAACAUUUUUUAUUAUCGUACGCAUUCUUUACUCCUAACUUGUACAAAA